CCUACGGGUGGCAGCAGUGGGGAAUAUUGCACAAUGGGGGAAACCCUGAUGCAGCGACGCCGCGUGAGUGAAGAAGGAAUUCGGUAUGUAAAGCUCUAUCAGCAGGGAAGAAAAUGACGGUACCUGAGUAAGAAGCCCCGGCUAACUACGUGCCAGCAGCCGCGGUAAUACGUAGGGGGCAAGCGUUAUCCGGAUUUACUGGGUGUAAAGGGAGCGUAGACGGCGAUGCAAGUCUGAAGUGAAAGGCUGGGGCCCAACCCCCGGACUGCUUUGGAAACUUUAUUGCUGGAGUGCAGGAGAGGUAAGUGGAAUUCCUAGUGUAGCGGUGAAAUGCGUAGAUAUUAGGAGGAACACCAGUGGCGAAGGCGGCUUACUGGACUGUAACUGACGUUGAGGCUCGAAAGCGUGGGGAGCAAACAGGAUUAGAUACCCGGGUAGUC
rnacentral:rRNA from 1 species